AUACGGGGGGGGCAAGCGUUGUUCGGAAUUACUGGGCGUAAAGGGCGCGUAGGCGGGCUCGUAAGUCUGAGGUGAAAGUCCGCGGCUUAACCGCGGAAUUGCCUUUGAAACUGUGAGUCUUGAGUGUGAGAUGGGAAAGCGGAAUUCCCGGUGUAGCGGUGAAAUGCGUAGAUAUCAGGAGGAACACCAAUGGCGAAGGCAGCUCUCUGGACUAUUGCUGACCCUGAGGGACGAAAGCUAGGGGAGCGAACAGGAUUAGAAACCCCGGUAGUCC
rnacentral:rRNA from 1 species